GACGAACGCUGGCGGCGUGCUUAACACAUGCAAGUCGAACGGUAAGGCCCUUCGGGGUACACGAGUGGCGAACGGGUGAGUAACACGUGGGUGAUCUGCCCUGCACUUUGGGAUAAGCCUGGGAAACUGGGUCUAAUACCGAAUACACCCUGCUGGUCGCAUGGCCUGGUGGGGGAAAGCUUUUGCGGUGUGGGAUGGGCCCGCGGCCUAUCAGCUUGUUGGUGGGGUGAUGGCCUACCAAGGCGACGACGGGUAGCCGGCCUGAGAGGGUGACCGGCCACACUGGGACUGAGAUACGGCCCAGACUCCUACGGGAGGCAGCAGUGGGGAAUAUUGCACAAUGGGCGCAAGCCUGAUGCAGCGACGCCGCGUGAGGGAUGACGGCCUUCGGGUUGUAAACCUCUUUCAAUAGGGACGGAGCGCAAGUGACGGUACCUAUAGAAGAAGGACCGGCCAACUACGUGCCAGCCGCCGCGGUAAUAC
rnacentral:rRNA from 1 species